rnacentral:rRNA from 1 species
GAUGAACGCUGGCGGCGUGCCUAAUACAUGCAAGUCGAGCGAACGGACGAGAAGCUUGCUUCUCUGAUGUUAGCGGCGGACGGGUGAGUAACACGUGGAUAACCUACCUAUAAGACUGGGAUAACUUCGGGAAACCGGAGCUAAUACCGGAUAAUAUUUUGAACCGCAUGGUUCAAAAGUGAAAGACGGUCUUGCUGUCACUUAUAGAUGGAUCCGCGCUGCAUUAGCUAGUUGGUAAGGUAACGGCUUACCAAGGCAACGAUGCAUAGCCGACCUGAGAGGGUGAUAGGCCACACUGGAACUGAGAGACGGUCCAGACUCCUACGGGAGGCAGAAGUAGGGAAUCUUCCGCAAUGGGCGAAAGAGUGACGGAGAAAAGCCGCGUGAGUGAUGAAGGUCUUCGGAUAGUAAAACUCUGUUAUAAGGGAAGAACAUAUGUGUAAGUAACUGUGCACAUCUUGACGGUACAUAAUCAGAAAGACACGGCUAAAUACGUG